UCUACCCCUCAGUUACCGUACUAUGAGAUGAUGGGAUGAGGCCAUGGGCUGUGUGCAUAUUACACAAGCAAUCUGCGUUCCUCAUCAUAAACCAGAAGUGGGGCAGAGGUUCCCAGGCUCGGGGGUGCAAGGCCUCCCCUAGCUCUUUCCAGGCUCGGAGCCUCUGUGCCACACCUGCCCUCAAUGCACCCACCCCCAAGACCAUGAAGGUCACCGGCCCCUGCUGCUGCUGGCACAGCUGUGGGUGAAGCCCUUCAGGGCCUUGAGUGCUUCCAGUGCUACGGUGUCUUGGACCUCAGCCUGUGCCACCCAUCUCCUACCCCAUGCAGGCUCAAAGCUGCCCCUCCUCUGUGGUCACUGGCACUACCAAUGGGCAGAAAUUCAGCUACACUAGCAAGGGCUGUGCCCCGACCCUGUGCCCAGAUUAUGAACCUCAUCCAUCCUGUGGUCCCUGGAGGGUCUUACCCCAUAGAAACUGAGGAUGGACUGAUUGACUUGAAGACUGAGAAGCUGGACAUGACCUGCUGUGAAAAGAGCCUCUGUAACAGGGUGGCCACAGUGCAGCGUGGCCUUUGGGGCCUGUCAGGGAGCUCCUGCUCAGCCUGGGCCUCUUCCUUUGGGCCCUGCUGUGAGCCCAGCCCACCCUGUUACUGCCCUGGUGGGUAAAUAGGAGCGCAGGGUGGUUGCCCAGUGCAGCCCUCAGCUCCUGCCCUGAUGCCCUCACCUGGCCGCCCAGCAGCCUAGAUGCCCGCUGGCCCAGACAGUAAAUACACGUGUUCAACCCAAGGACUUUGUUCCCUUAUUAGCCCUUGGGGUCUGGUCUGUGGCCUUCAAGGGGGGGGGGUCCCAGCAAAUUCCCCAGGGUGGGGCUCAGAGACUGGAGGGCCUUCCCCAGGUGGCCCAGCCCUGCGCUCAUUUCCAGCCAGGAUCAGGCUCAGCCCCAGCCCGAGGUCCAGAGGCAGCCCGGAGGG